rnacentral:rRNA from 1 species
CCCGCACAAGCGGAGGAGCAUGUGGUUAAUUCGAUGAUACGCGAGGAACCUUACCUGGGCUCGAACGUAAGAUGACUGUAGGUGAAAGCUUACAUCUCUUCGGAGCAUUUUACGAGGUGCUGCAUGGUUGUCGUCAGCUCGUGCCGUGAGGCGUCGGGUUAAGUCCCAUAACGAGCGCAACCCCUACCUUUAGUUGCCAUCAGGUUAAGCUGGGGACUCUAAAGGAACUGCCUACGCAAGUAGUGAGGAAGGCGGGGAUGACGUCAAAUCAGCACGGCCCUUACGUCCAGGGCUACACACGUGCUACAAUGGCCGAUACAGAGGGCAGCUACCUGGUGACAGGAUGCAAAUCUCCAAAGUCGGUCUCAGUUCGGAUCGGAGUCUGCAACCCGACUCCGUGAAGUUGGAUUCGCUAGUAAUCGCGCAUCAGCCAUGGCGCGGUGAAUACGUUCCCGGGCCUU